GCCAGCAGAAGGUUGGGGUUAUGCCUGGCUGAACCAAUUAGGACAGGACAAACUUUUCCAUUCUUUGAGAGCUUCGCCUCAGGAACAUUUCUGAAAUGUCCAUUUUUAAAGUCAUCAGAAACAUCAACAUCAUUGAAGCAAGCUAUGAAGAAAACUCAACCAGCCAAGCUAAAUAUUUACUUGAGAACCUACUAUGUGUCAUCCAGGGCAUGAAACAGAAUGGUCACUUAACUCUUGCACACAGGAAGAACAGCUGAGAUUCAAAUAGAGUGGAAAAAGAUGAUAAUGUUGUAUGAGGAGGAACAGAUCAACAGUCUUGGGUAAAUUUGCUGAAAAUAUUCAACAAACACAAAGGUAAUAUUAAACAAUCCUACCCAAAUCCUGUGGGUCUCUACUGCCUAACGUACUGUGCAUUUUCAGGCUCUGUGCCUUU
rnacentral:lncRNA from 1 species